rnacentral:rRNA from 1 species
GAUGAACGCUGGCGGCGUGCCUAACACAUGCAAGUCGAGCGAACAGACGAUGCGCUUGUUCCUCUGACGUUAGCGGCGGACGGGUGAGUAACACGUGGAUAACCUACCUAUAAUACUGGGAUAACUUCGGGACACCGGAGCUAAUACCGGAUAAUCUAUUGAACCGCAUGGUUCAAUAGUGAAAGACGGCUUUGCUGUCACUUAUAGAUGGAUCCGCGCCGCAUUAGCUAGUUGGUAAGGUAACGGCUUACCAAGGCAACGAUGCGUAGCCGACCUGAGAGGGUGAUCGGCCGCACUGGAAGUGAGACACGGUCCAGACGCCUACGGGAGGCAGCAGUCGGGAAUCUUCCGCAAUGGGCGAAAACCUGACGGAGCAACGGCGCGUGAGUGAUGAAGGUCUUCGGAUCGGAAAGCUCUGUUAUGAGGGAAGAACAAAUGUGUCAGUAACUAUGCACGUCUUGACGGUACCGAAUAAGAAAGCCACGGCUAACUACGUG